UGGGGAAUCUUGCACAAUGGAGGAAACUCUGAUGCAGCGAUGCCGCGUGAGUGAAGAAGGCCUUUGGGUUGUAAAGCUCUUUCGUCGGGGAAGAAAAUGACUGUACCCGAAUAAGAAGGUCCGGCUAACUUCGUGCCAGCAGCCGCGGUAAUACGAAGGGACCUAGCGUAGUUCGGAAUUACUGGGCUUAAAGAGUUCGUAGGUGGUUGAAAAAGUUGGUGGUGAAAUCCCAGAGCUUAACUCUGGAACUGCCAUCAAAACUUUUCAGCUAGAGUAUGAUAGAGGAAAGCAGAAUUUCUAGUGUAGAGGUGAAAUUCGUAGAUAUUAGAAAGAAUACCAAUUGCGAAGGC
rnacentral:rRNA from 1 species